rnacentral:miRNA from 1 species
CGGCACUCCAGAUGUUUUGGACUACACCCCCCAUGAUGCUUUGCCAGCAUUACGGGUGUAAAAGCAUUAUGGGGGGUGUAGUCCAAAACAUAUGGAGUGACG